rnacentral:pre_miRNA from 2 species
UCUUAUGAAUAAGCCAAGAAAGUGGUUUCUUGAGAUGGUAUCUACCCCUGCUGAAGAUGCUGUGAA